UACAGCCAUAUCAUAUUGAAACAACGCUUCCUGUAAGAUCACCGAAGUUAAGCAAUGUUGAACCUGGUCACUACCUAGAUGGGUGACCGCUUUGGAAUACCAGGU